rnacentral:rRNA from 1 species
AUUGAACGCUGGCGGCAGGCCUAACACAUGCAAGUCGAACGAGUGGCGGACGGGUGAGUAAUGUCUGGGAAACUGCCUGAUGGAGGGGGAUCACUACUGGAAACGGUAGCUAAUACCGCAUACCAUCGGAUGUGCCCAGAUGGGAUUAGCUAUUAGGUGGGGUAACGGCUCACCUAGGCGACGAUCCCUAGCUGUUCUGAGAGGAUGACCAGCCACACUGGAACUGAGCAACGGUCCAGACUCCGACGGUAGGCAGCAGUGGGGAAUAUUGCACAAUGGGCGCAAGCCUGAUGCAGCCAUGCCGCGUGUAUGAAGAAGUCCUUCGGGUUGUAAAGUACUUUCAGCUGGUAGGCGUUACCCGCAGAAGAAGCACCGGCUAACUCCGUGCCAGCAGCCGCGGUAAUUC